AUGCCGGUGUACGACACACAAGUCUCGCCAACAGCACCUUCAGUGCUCCCAUCUCCAGCGGGGGAAUCGCCACAGCUACCGCUGGCGGACCUCUACCUGCUGGGCAGAUUGCCCACUACCACCCCCCUUUGCUUCAACUGCGACGAGAUUUAUGUUCGCGGUUACCGGUGCAGGCAGCACUUCUUCAUCGAGGCUGACGACUACAACCAAGGUAGCUCCGCAACUGGUAGCCCCUCUCAAUGGAGCAGAGAAGAAUAUUAUCGUUUAACUUUUAUGUACUUUUCAUUAAUUAGGGUUAUGUCAGUAGUAGAUCCUUCCGUCAUCUACGUCUGA
rnacentral:rRNA from 1 species